rnacentral:snRNA from 1 species
AUCGCUUCUCGGCCUUUUGGCUGAAGAUCAAGUGUAGGUAUCUGUUCUUUAUCAGUUUAAUCAUCUGAUAACGUCCCUCCUAUCCGAAGGACAAUAAUUUAAAUGGAUUUUUUUGGAGCUGGGAGAUGGAAAGGAGCUUGCUCCGUCCACUCCUACGCUCGACCUGGUAUUGCAGUACUUCCAGGAACGGUGCACCCCCG